AGAGUUUGAUCCUGGCUCAGGACGAACGCUGGCGGCGUGCUUAACACAUGCAAGUCGAGCGAUGAAGCUUCUUCGGGAGUGGAUUAGCGGCGGACGGGUGAGUAACACGUGGGUAACCUGCCUCAUAGAGGGGAAUAGCCUUUCGAAAGGAAGAUUAAUACCGCAUAAGAUUGUAGUACCGCAUGGUACAGCAAUUAAAGGAGUAAUCCGCUAUGAGAUGGACCCGCGUCGCAUUAGCUAGUUGGUGAGGUAACGGCUCACCAAGGCGACGAUGCGUAGCCGACCUGAGAGGGUGAUCGGCCACAUUGGGACUGAGACACGGCCCAGACUCCUACGGGAGGCAGCAGUGGGGAAUAUUGCACAAUGGGGGAAACCCUGAUGCAGCAACGCCGCGUGAGUGAUGACGGCCUUCGGGUUGUAAAACUCUGUCUUUGGGGACGAUAAUGACGGUACCCAAGGAGGAAGCCACGGCUAACUACGUGCCAGCAGCCGCGGUAAUACGUAGGUGGCAAGCGUUGUCCGGAUUUACUGGGCGUAAAGGGAGC
rnacentral:rRNA from 1 species